GGGGGUGACCGGUCUCGACGGGAACACCGAGGCCAGGCUGCAGGCGGAGGUCCGCCUCCUCCUAAAUCCGGCGGAACGGCAAACAAACGCCGACUACGCAACUGUUCCUGCUUACGCUCUGAACUAGCGUAGGCCGUCCGCGGCGCCCCCGCCCGUGGGGUGCCGUUGGGCGUCGACAAGGCGGGCUAGCCUAGGUCGCUGGCCUUGGGCGGCCGAGGUGAACCUUCGCAAGGCUGGGGGCCGAGCGAUCCCGCCCGCGGGAGCGUGAAGCCCGAGAACAAGAACGCGGGCUAAGCCUGUAGACGCCGAAGCCAAGGGGUUUUCGGACGGGGGUUCGACUCCCCCCACCUCCACCA
rnacentral:tmRNA from 1 species